GCCCCGCCCCGGCAGCUCGAGGCUCGGCAGAAGCCUACAGUUCCCGGCGGGCUCUGCGGCGCGCAGCCCCAGCCGGGCUCGUUCCCAUGGAGACAGCGCUCCGCUAGGCGUACAAAAUGGCGCCCGAGGCGCGAGGCGACUUCGCCCACAGAGGGCGGGCCAGGCUCCGAUUUUCAUCUGACAUACAAGUAGCCUGGAGAAUGAGCCCGGAAUGAAUAGGAAUGUUUUCCCAAUAGCAUCAGCUUUGUUACUGAAAGAAAAGGAAAUAUUUGGUGCUGCUACAAAAGGAAGGCGAGCGAACUCCUGUGAUGUACUGGAGCUGUCAAUGAGGAAACACCUCGUGCUGCCAAGGAAAUAUUCUACUGAGCAGGACUUAAAAUUUUACCUCAAUUGGCAAAAAAGAACCCGGAGAAUAGAGCACAACUUGACAACUUGUGAAAACUAAUUGGAAAAGGAUAGAUUUCAAUAUUUCCUCAAAGUUGAACAGUAACCUCUGUGAAAUGAAAAAUGUAGUAGUCUUCAGGCAAAUGAGUGAUGGAGAUCUGAAGAAAUCACAGAACCAUAGAAAUGAGUGGGCUUCUUCAACAGCAGCCAAGGAAAGUAAGUGAACAUGGUGAUGGAGGGUGAUUUUUGUUUCCCCCAGUUUAAUAGUAAAAAAUCCAGACAUGCUGAUCAGAAAUUAAACACUUUUUAUACUUUUUUUUUUUAAAUUUAAGCAGUAAAUGUAUGACUUAGUACAAGUGGUUCACAAAACGAAGACAACACUUACCUUACAAGAACUGAAUUUCUUCAGGAUGUGCUAUGUGUAUGUACUUUACUGUGGAUGUGCAUGUAUUUUAAAUGCUUUAAGUUGGCAGGUGUUUGGUUACUACAGUCCAUUCAGUAUAUGUCAUCCUUUUCACCAUUCUUUGCACUCAAACGUAAGGACAGCUGCGUUUCUAUUUGUCUCCAUUAUGAAAUCCAGAGACACACGACUUUAAGGAGAGGUGCUGGAUUAGGACUGUGCACACAAAAUGCACCACCUGAAGAGCUUCAGUUAUUGCAAGGCAUCUGACAACUAUCUACCACGACUCCUUGAGCAGAUUCACUUUCCACUGCAGAGAACACUACAGAACUGCCACCAUAAUGCAGAGAUGAUCUCUCUAGCAAGAACAGUAAGUGAAACUUGUUUUACAUAAGAGUCUCAUCUAGAGAUGGCACUUCUGACAGUAUUUAGGGAACACAGUACCAGUAGGGUGUCCUUGAGGAACUGCAAAAAUAUCUGAAAGCAGUAUUAAGAACAAUGGCUUGGGUCCUGUGGACAGUCCUCCAACUACUAUAGCGAGGUUCAACCCAACUCUCCUCCAGUUUGUGCAGAUGCAGCAGCUGAGCUCUGGUUGGGAGUAUUCUGGGUGUUCACCAUACCCUUGGUAUUAUUCCAUUAUCAUUCUUUUUAAUGACUUUUUAAAGUUCUGCCUGGGGAAGGUGCCACUUACAUGUGGAAAAUGGCUAUCUUUUCAAACGGGCAGAAUAGAAAGACUGUUUAUUCCUGAAUAAACAAGGCCUUUCACAAACAGAAUGCAUAGAAGCAAAAACAGUUUUUGAAGUACGUAGCAAGAAUUCUGAACAAGUUUUUAGGAGAACUAAGUACAGAGGAUCUCACAAGAGCUUGGCUUUUCGUUUCUGAGUUGAUUGCACAAGAUGUCUUUUACUGACAAGUGUAGUCCACAUGUGAGCACUACAUUGAAUUUGCACAACAGAUCCCUUCACGGCAGAGCAAAGCACAGCACUGCUACAGAGCUGAGAAACAGCAAGCCAAAAUAGCUGUCUGGUGAAGAGCAGAGCUGAAGGUAUCAUGCCGAUUAAUUUGAGAAGGCAGUCCCAGCAAAAAAUAGUUGACUCACUGAAACUCAAGUAUCCUACAGUGAGGAAGAAUGAAGAGAAACCAAAUCUGCUUUGCAACAAAAGCCUGCAUCAUCUCUGAACCACAUCAGCAAGUCCUCCUGUUGGUUAUGUUGUGUUUUUGAGGUGAAAAAAAAAAAAAAAAAACAACAGCUUAUUGCAGAAGAACAAGAACAAAGUGGAUGUUCCAGCAAAACUUAGUACAUACAGACCAGACAUCACUAUCUUUGUACAAGGACAUUAUACAUGUCUAUAGCAAUUAGAUCCAGUAACUUCAACGUAACAAACAGAGAUAAUCUGGAGGCAGACUAGGCCACAAAGAGAAGAUAACUGAGCCUAUUGGAGCCAUGUGAAUUUGUGAUGAAGCCUAGAAGGUGAAUAAGUUUGUUUAUAUGCAUAAACAAGUACUUCACAGAGAUUUCAACUAUUUCCAUGCACCUCUCCAGAAUAAAAUACCUGGUCUUCAUCACUAUGGUGUAAAUUUUGAGCUCAUAUUAGCUUCCUCUGAAAAACAGAUUGCCUAAAUUAUUAUUAUUAUUUUUAAUGUUUUCUGUUAUAUCCAUAGCUUUAAAGCUUCCAUACACUGCGGAAGUACUGUGACCUUUCUCUCUGACUAUAGUGAUCAUAGAAAAUAUGAUUGCAGUAGGCCCAGAGAUUGUCUAAGAGAACAGAUUCUUGAAAGAUAAAGGCAGUUUAUGUUUUGGGGAUACUGCCAGUGAGUUUCUUCUCCCAGUGAACUGCUCACUAGCACCAUUGCCCUGCAUGUCAGGAGGAGUUCCUUCACAGAGGCUUUCCAAGGUCUUCCUGAACUUCGAGAAAACUGAAACAAAUCCAGAAAAAAAUACCUGUCUGUUGAACAGGCCAACUCUCAGCAAUUCACUGCACUGGAAGUAUAGCCUGGCAUGUGGCAAAACAGGCAUGUGGCAAAAGGUACAUUUUUGAUGUUGCGUUUUGAUCUGCAAGCCUGAACACAACCUAGAACUCAGUGAGAUAACUAUAUACUUGCAAAUGUGGAAACCGAAGUGCCCGCUAUUAGUCUUCACUGCAUCAAGGGAAAACGUGCGAAUAUCAAGGGUUUAAAAAUCCCACCAAGCUCCUCAAUCAGGCCUCUAAAUACUUCAUCACUAAUUAUUUUUUGUUAAGAAGAUCCCAAAUUAGCCAGGUACCUCAAAGACCUGGGUUAUAAUCCUUGAAGCCAUCAAUACAUGACAAGGAUCCUGUUCUGCCAAUGUACUGACUACAUUCUAAGGAACAUGUGGAAGUGUAAUGGAAACGUGGAAUCCUGAAAGUAAAGACAGAAGAACCAAUCUCUUCGCUACAGGCUGGAAAUGAAAAGGUCUCCCCAAACUUUCUGAGAAGGGAACGAUUUCUUAUUUCCCAGGAAACUUCCUACUGUAAAUGGUGUCAUUGGAAGGACAGCUGAAAGACCACAGGGAAGUAAUGCCCUGAAAAUAAGUGACAUCCAGAUGAAAGAGAGGCCAAAGUGACUACGCAUCCUGGCUGGGUAAUGCUCACUGAAGCCCUCAAAAUGGGCCAAGCAGUCUCCAUAAGGCAACAUGGCAAGUCACAAUCUGUCACAGCUGUUUUGAACUGAGCAGAGCAGCAGAUGACUGGCCUUUCAAGAAUGUCUAUGGUCACAGGAACUUUUUCCCAGCCAUUCCUGAGGUCUAUAAAAAGAAAAGGCUGAAUUGACUUUCUUUGUGCAGCGUAUGCAUCGAGUCUCCUCUGUUGUUUUCGUUUGAAAUGCAGUAUUCCUUGUUUUCAUAUUAAAAAAAAGUAUAGUAACAGGAGAAAUAUGCACUACAGUAUGUAUUUAUUUCAUGAUGGAAAACAGGGUCUCUGUUUUUACAGUGAUUACAGCCAUACAAAGUGUCCACUAGUGGCUGCCAGGCCUAUUUAGACACUACCCCUUCACUCCAUUGUUGCAUGGUUUCCCCACAAAUCUGAAAAGCAGUUUAUCAGCAGAGAAAGUGAACGUCAUCUUCCAGUAACAUGGGGUACUGGCAGAACACAAGUCUGUACCUAACAACAGUGCUGCGGCUGCAGUUUCUUUUUUUCAGAACACCUUUCAGCUGGCCAGCUGCUUUGAAGCCUCACGUUUUUAUUUUGUGGUGAGUUUUCUUUUCCAAUACAGUUGAUAAAAAUCUGAGAGCAGAAUCCAAAUUGCUGCUUUGUUUGUCAGUGGCAGUUUCUAGAAACUGAAGCAAUACCUACCUAUGUUCUAGGAACCAGGUCUGCACUCUCGUUUGCAUGUUCUUUGAAGGUUAGCUGAACCAAUUCCUGGUAUGUACAAAUUCAUAAAAGAAAAAAAAUCUGCAGUACCUAUCUACUGAAGGGAAUCAAUCCAGUAUUUAAAUCUGCCUCUCAAAACAGAUUCUCCUAGGGAAUAUGUUGGAAAAAACAGCCAGGUACACAUAUUUUAGUUCUUAAACAUAAAGCACACAGAUACAUGCAUUCCACAUAGCUGCUGCUAACCAGAACUCUUUACAUAUGCAAGUAUGUACCCACCACGGAAUACAAAUGUGGAUAAGCAUCAAAAUAUAAAGUCAGAUUUACAACCUUGAAUUAAGAAACAGGAAACAAAGCAGGGUGAGAAAUACUGAGAGCUCUGUUUCCUGAGCUAUUCUGAAAUAUUAAGAGUACAGACAGUGUUACCGUAGCAUUCACAUUCAGAAUGCAGUUCUGCAUCCAAGCAUAUAAUCAUAUUUAACCCAUCAGCCUAAUUUUCAAACAGACUUGGCCAUUCUUUAGGAGCACACAUUUCCUUUAUUAAUAAAAGGUUUGGGACUUCAAAAGGUAAUUCAAUCAAUAUGCAUUUUGAUUGUUGCCUACAAUCCUUUUUUUACUUUGUUGCUUUAUCUUUGUUGUUGUUGUUGUACAACAAAUAAUAAAUACUUGCACUACUUUCUUGAAUUAUUUAAUUAUUCAAUUUAUUUUUUCAUUCUACAUUUGAAACUCAGGGCUGAAGGCUUUAAGAAAAGACGACCUAUCACUACCAACAAGAGGCACUCAAUAAAAGUAACUGCUACACAGAACUACGUUUUGUUUUGAAAUGGAGGUGAUGGGGAUACUGUGGGCAUCUCAAGACAAAUUACUGCGGGACUGAAACAUUGCGCAGAAAGAGUUAAGAUGGUAUUCUCAGUGCUAUCAGUGUUCCUCACACUGGCUGACUUAUUGCUGUCAAAACACAACACAGUAUUCAGCCACAUUUUUUGCAAACGUGUCACAACUGAUACAUAAGUAAAUUCACACUGAAUUGAACCUACCUUAUAAGAGAUUAUACAACAGCACCCAUUAAGUAGCAUUUCUUUCCACUCUGCUGAACAAUGUACAAAAAGCAAGAGCAUUCCUUUUAAACUACCUACCAUAUUAUAUCGAACUUUAAAAAGAGUCAACCCAACAAGCUCCUCAGUAUCAACAGUGUAUGACAAGGAGAUAUUUUCAAAAAAACUGAGAGAACAGCACUGAAAUACAUUAUAUUAGCCUAGGAUUCCUGAAGAACAAAACUCUUUUAUUUCUUAGGAGAACAAGCAUGGUACAAGGAGUGGCAGAGCAACUAGGUAUGUUUUCUUUCAGUUAUACUUAAUACUCAGAUGUACAGAAUCAUUUCCUCGAACGAGAUAGUUUGCAUUAAAAUAACUUGGAAAGAAGCUUUUACAUUAAUCUGAGAGAUUUCUAUUGUGGACACAAUUUAAAACGGAAUGGGCUAAACUAGAAUUGCACUGAAUAACUGCUGAAUAACUGUGAAGAAUGAAUUUAAAACUGAGAAGCAUCAUGGUUUAGUAAUCCCAUGAACUAUCAACUUCCUAAUCAACAAUCCUAACCAACAACUAUAAGAAUUCUCCUAGCCCAAUUCCUUUAAUUAUAUGGAAUAGGACAUCCACUAACAGAAUCUGGCACAAAUAAGCUGAAUUUUUAAAAGCUCUCAUUUUUUUCCUCUCCUGAAAAGGCCAAAAGCCAACAUGCUACCUGUUUCAAAAUUCAGCAGAUGGCUGUCAGUCAGGUACUGGUAAAUCCAUACCAGCUAGCACAGUAUAGAACUUGCUCAUUUGCUCAGUUUCAGUUAGAGCCUAGCUCUUGGGCAAGUUCUUUUCCCUGGUUUUAACAGACAUUUACUCUACCAAGCAAAUACAGAGAAGCUAAUUAAAAUUAUGAAAACCUGUCUAUUCUCUUAUUCCAAAACCUGAAAUAAACGUGCAUUUGUUUUUCACUACAAGCCUCACAACUUGCAUCCUCCAUCCCAGUGUGCUUCAGAAACACAGAAAAAGCAGACAUCAGGUUUGGCCUCAGCAGCAAUCAAAAAACUUGUCUGGGAACAUCAGGCUCUCUGUAGUGCCAAGGCAGUAGACAGCAGCCAAGAAGUGCCUACAGCAAACCAAGUCUGCUAAAUCCAGGUCCCAUGGCUCAGCUGGUGGCACAAUUGGCAGGGACCGUGCCUGCUUUGCCAUGUGGUCAAGGGCUCCCAUCACACUGACAGAAGUGCUGCUCAGGGAAGGAAAAAUGAGACUUGACACAUAUGGAAACCAGGGCUUGAGGGCACUGAAGUAGGAGGAGGGAAGAAACAGGCCAGGCAUCCCAGACAAGCUGUUUUAAUGGAAGCCUGGGAGAACUACCAGACGCAGAAACUGGCUCAAGAAGUUCCAGUUGGUGUUUUGAGGUUCACAGAAAUGAAGCUGAAAUUCUGAUAGGAAGCACACAGGUAGAGAAGAUGGCUAGGCAUGGUCAGGAAAAAAGGAGACCCUGUUGCUACUUUUAGGAGAACAAUUCACAACUUCACCUCUGAAUCUUUCCCAGAGCACCACAUGUAGAUUUGUCUUCCUAAGGCACUUGCAACUAGCUGCCUAGCAGGCUGGAUUUUGCUGGCCACUCUCAAUAGCAAAAAGUUUUAUCAUAUUAAGUUGUUGGUUGUUCAAAUGGCAAAUCCUUUUUCCACUAUUGCAUAAAAUUUAAAAAUACACAGUAAACAAUGUGACAAUUGUAAUUUUCAUUUCCUAAAGCUGAGUAAAGUAAGCGGUGAUUCUGUAGAUGGACUAACCAAAAGUUACUUUUUUCUUAGCCUUCAACUUAUCUGGUGCACUUGGAAGUCUAUAAAAUACAUUUUUAUCAAAAGCGUACAAAAUAGGCUUAAAAAGCAAUCCAUAAAUAUCUAAUGGAUUUAAAGCUUUUGUGUUGAAAGGCAGAAUUCAUGCUGUUCCCUCACAGGGGCAUUUUCCAGUACUCACAUUCAGGUUUUCAAAAUACAGAUCCACAGAGACUUUCUGAGGUUUCAGGGAGUUCUCCAGGAAUACAGCAACAGUCAGCAGGUCAGGCUGAUGGUUGGACUUUAUGAUCUUGAAGGUGUUUUCCAACCCAGAUAAUUCCACAAUUCUACACAUCAUUGCUCAUCAGCAAAUACUUCACUUAAUCAUACUUUCAUAAACAUAAAUUCCUCUUUCAAGAGUCCAGUUUAAAAAAAAUACCUUUUGAAAUUGAGUCAUGGGGAAAAGUAUAUGCUUGGUUCUAACAGCUGACCUAAAUUCUUGAGUGAGUUCAUGUAGAGUUAUAGAAAUGAUGUUUUAGCUGUGAGAACACUCCCAUUCUUUAAAUCUCAAGCAGCAUGUUUACUGACAACUAUAUCACCACGUUUACCACAUCAGCGAUUUCAACUUCUUAAUUCUGUCACAAACAUUACAUUAAAAACAGCCUCCAUCAAAUUGUUUCAUACACUGGAGCUAAAUUUUGCAACCAGAAUUUCUGCCAAUCUGAUACGGGGGAAAAAUAAUAACCAACACUUCUACUUGUACGGUCUUGUUCUUCAAUUCUCUAGAAACAAGAACAGCUGUAUCUAAUACCUACUAGCAUUCUUGACUGCAUUAGGCAAAGUACUGCCAGGAGGCCAAGAGAAGUGAUCCUUUCCCUCCAGAGGGGCUGCACCUGGAGCACUGUGUCCAGUUCUGGACCCUCCAUUAGAAGAGAGAUCUGGACAUAACAGAGACAGUCCAGUGGAGGGCUGGCAGGAUGCUGAAAGGACUGGAGGACUUCUCCUACGAUGACAGGCUGAGAGAGCUGGGUCUGCUCAGCCUGGAAGAGGCUCAGAGGGACCUCAUCAACAUCUAUAAAUAGCUGAAGGGAGGAUGCGAAGCGGACGAAACCGGGCUCUUUUCAGUGAUGCCCAAUGUCAGGACAAAGGGCCAUGUACACUAGCUAGAGCAUAGGAGCUUCUGUCUGAACACCAGGAAGAACUUCUGUGCUGGUGACAGGGCACUGGCCCAGGCUGCCUGGAGAGGCUGUGGGGUCUCCUCCUUAGAGAUCUUCAAAGGCCACCUGGAUGUGAGCCUGGGCACCCUGCUGUGGAUGUCACUGCUUGAGCAGAGGUUGGACCAGAUGGACCCUUCACACCUCAGCCAUGCUGUAAUUCUCUAAUGCUUGCUUUACAACAUAUCCCUUUGAGCAUUUUAAAUCAGAACAUUUCUAUACAGAAUUGACAAAAAAAUACAAGUUGUCACAACAGACAAGUCACCUAUUGGAAUUAAACUAUUUCAAAGAACUAUUCAUUGUUUUAUUGAAUAAGAUCUACAUACCAUUAAAAACUAAGUCAAACUACUACCCAUAAAUAAAAGUCAGUUUAUACCUUUUCAAAUGUCUUUUUUUAACAGUUAAACAUUUUUAAACCUUUCUAUAGAAGUCAAAAUUGAGAACAAGGAACUAAAAAUUUAACUGGCUUCCACUACUAGUUUUGAUUAGAGCCCUGGAAUCUCUUUAUCACAGACAGCACCAGAAUUAAUUUCAUGUUUCUCCCUGGUUUUGUUUCAGCUGGGUGGAAUUAUAUUCUUCAGAGUAUCUGGUAUGAUAUUAUGGCUCUGUUGUAGGAGAAAAAUACUGUUGAUAACACAGCAAUGUUUAUAUAGCUGCCGCUAAGCAGUGUUAUACAGAGCCAAGGCCAUUUACAGCGAAGGUCCCAAGGAGCUGGGAGCAAAGAGAAUAAGGACAGCUAACUUAAACUUGCCAAAGAGAUAUUCCAUAGCACAUGCAGAAGGAGUUUUAAAGGGGAUGGAAGUUCAUUGCUCUCUUCCGCAGUUUGAGGGACUAGCUGGGCACUGCUUGGUGGGUAGUGAGCUCAUGCAUCACUUCUUACAUACAUUCAUAUAUAUACAGACAUAACUAUUAUGCUUUUCAUUUUCACUUAGUAAAUAAUUUUAUCUCAUCCUCUGAGUUCUACUUUUUAUUUUUUUUCCCAGUUCUCUCCCCCAUCACACUGGGAAUGUGGACAGUAAGCAAAACAGAACACUCCCCAAAACUACUUUGACUUAAAUAUUGCUUCCUAUGAAUGAUUGCUUUCUUAGUCCAUUAUACAAAAUUGAAUGACUGUGUGCAUCAUAUGAAGGAAAAAAAAAAAAA